GGGAAAAUUAAUUAACAUUUGUUAAAUCAUAUAAAAUUUGACAUUUCGUAGUUAUUGUAUAUUUUUAUAUGCUCCAAAUUUGAAAAUUAAGAUAUAACAUAGGAGUGUUUCAAUAAGUACUUUGCCGUCCCCUAAAUCCUUUUCGGAACUGCCUUCGCCGAGCAACAGUAAAUUCGCCCUUUCCGGUUUUCUGCACGGGUCCCACAAUGAGAACGAUUUCAUCUAUUUCGAACAGGUAGAGGAACCUCUCAGUUCGUAAUAAAACAACAGCGAAACCAUCUGAUUGCCAAUCUCUUAAAUGGAUUUCUUUUUAAAUUAUUUAAAUUUUCUUUUAUUUUUUAUCUUUUUCCAUUAUUAUUUUACAAUUGAUAGAGUUUAUGUAAAAAUUUGUAGAGAUUAUUAAAUAUAUUAUCACAAUAUUGUCAACAAUCACA